rnacentral:rRNA from 1 species
GGUAGCGCCCGAAGUCCGCUUAGCUAACCGUAAGGAGGCGGCGGCCGACGGCAAGACCGGUGACUGGGGUGAAGUCGUAACAAGGUAGCCGUAGGUGAACCUGCAGAAGGAUCA